rnacentral:rRNA from 1 species
AGAGUUGUCGUCCAGGUUAGCUAGAUCUACAAGUCCUUGGAAUAGGGCACCUUGGAGGGUGAGAGUCCCGUCCUGGAUCUAAGCAUAAUCUUUUGUGUCGACUUCUCGACGAGUCAGGUUGUUUGGGAAUGCAGCCUAAAGUGGGUGGUAAAUCCCAUCUAAAGCUAAAUAUUGGCGAGAGACCGAUAGCGAACAAGUACCGUGAGGGAAAGAUGAAAAGAACUUUGAAAAGAGAGUUAAACAGUAUGUGAAAUUGCUAAGAGGGAAGCGUUUGGAGUCAGACUGGCUUUGUCUGAAUCAGCCUAUUCUUUGGAGUGGGUUUAUUUCGGGCUUGUGCCUGCCAACAGCAGUUUUCCUGGAUGGAAAAAACUUUAGGGAAGGUAGUUCCUCGGAAUGUUUAUAGCCCUAGAGAAAAUACAUUCGGGGAGACUGAGGAAUGCAAUGGAUGCCUUUAGGCUUUGACUUGGCGUCUCUGUUUGAUGGUACGGUUAGUUUUCAGCUUGCUGAUGCUAGUUGUAUUUGAGGGCAAGGGCGUUAGGAUCUUUAAUCUAUUCUGGUUGUUGGCUUAAUGACUCUAAACGACCCGUCUUGAAACACGGACCAAGGAGUCCACCAUUGAUGCGAGUAUUUGGGUGGCAAACCCGGAAUGCGCAAUGAAAGUGAAUAGCUAUCAAGUCCUUGGACUGCAAUAGCGUCCGGCGUAGACGUUUUAUACUGAAAUGACCGAGACAAAGCAUCAAUGAUGGGACCCGAAAGAUGGUGAACUAUGCUUGAGUAGGGUGA